AUACGGAGGGAGCGAGCGUUAAUCGGAAUUACUGGGCGUAAAGCGCGCGUAGGCGGCUUUGUUAGUCGGAUGUGAAAGCCCUGGGCUUAACCUGGGAAUGGCAUUCGAUACUGCAUAACUAGAGUAUGGUAGAGGGAAGUGGAAUUUCAGGUGUAGCGGUGAAAUGCGUAGAUAUCUGAAGGAACAUCAGUGGCGAAGGCGACUUCCUGGAUCAAUACUGACGCUGAGGUGCGAAAGCGUGGGGAGCAAACAGGAUUAGAAACCCCGGUAGUCC
rnacentral:rRNA from 1 species